GACAAGGUGACAGGACUCCUUGUAAAAAAAAAUCACCUUUUGGCAAAGAGCUUUUUUAAGAACAGUUCAUUAUUGUUCUUAAGUUAUAAUUAUUUCAAGUUGAAAAUUUCAUAAAUCCAAAGUUCUUACCACUUUUAAUCCAAACUUUUCUGUGCAUUCAUCUGUAAUUUUUGCUCUUGCAUUUCCACUUCUAAGCAGACAGGGGGAGCCUGUAAGGGAACAAAUAUCAACAAGGUGUCAAAGUCAUUUCACUCAAAGUUUCUAGCAAUCAUUGAUUCUUGCGCUGUUUUCCACUGAAAUUCUUGUCAGCUUUCCACUUGAUCAAGCCAAUCAUUCAUUAACUCAUAAAAUUAUUAUCAUUUUAGUAGAAGACAAGAAUAUGCCAGGGAAUCUGCUUCAACAAGAAGGGAAGAUUCUACUAGAGAACCAACAUCAAUCAGAAGACAGGAGCCAAAUAGGGAACAAAAUUCACAAAGAAGACAGGAGCCGAAUAGGGAACAAAAUUCACAAAGAAGACAGGACCCAAAUAGGGAGCAAACUUCACAAACUUUAAGAAGACAAGAGCCAGAUAGAGAACAAAAUUCACGAACUUCAAGAAGACAGGAACCAGAUAGGGAGCAAAAACCACAAAGUCUAGAGGAGACAGAUUCUUCAAGGUACAAUGUUUUCAUUGUUCUUAUCUCUUCCCUUUAUCUUCCCCAUCAUUUAUCCCAUCAUUUAUAUUUGAGGUUCAGUAUGCUUAAAUCCUGUAUAUCGGUUCAUAGUGCCAAGAAUGUUAGAUGUCCAAACUCCUCUAAAAGAAUCCAAGAUACAAAUUUUAAAGCCUAACAGACAUGGGUUACCAAUCAGUAAUGACUGUAAACCUUUUAAUUCAACAAAAGGUAUUAAGGAAUGG